GAUCCCUUGAAGGAGGGCAUGGCAACCCACUCCAGUAGUCUUGCCUGGAGAAUCCCAUGGACAGAGGAGCCUGGCGGGCCACAAUCCAGAGAGCCCAGACAACUGAGCAACUAACACCAUGAUUCCCACUGUUGGAGCCCCUAGCAACUGGCAUCUCCCUGAUCCUCCGGUCAGUCCAGCCAGAGACGGGGGUUGGAAUCCCACCGUGGAGUCUUCCUGGUUCUCCUGGGACCUUCUCCAAGACCACCAUCUGAUUCUGCUGGGCCUGUGUUCAUGAUGUGUGCAUGUCUCCCCCCACUAAAACACAAGCUACGUGAAGGUCCUUUCGAGGACUCCUGAACCCUGGUUAUAAAGGCAGAACUGUGGUCUGAGGAUGCAGUGUUGAAGGUGAUGCCGAAGAGCACAGGUCAGGGCAGAGGUCACAGAAAUUGAUGUGAUAACUACAACCUCAACUAGGAGUCACUAUCCUCAGCACCACUGGGGCUUCCCAGAGCUCAUCACCAUCAUCACCAACACAAUAUCAUGAAUAAUCCUUACUGAGCAUUUGCUCUGUGUCAGGCACGCAUUUAAAAACCCUGUCGUGUAAGGGGCAGGCGUGCCUGUGCUAAGCUGCUUCCGUCGUGUCUGACUCUGCAGCUCUGUGGACUACAGCCCGCCCGGCUCCUCUGUCCAUGGGAUUCUCCAGGCAACAGUGCUGGAGUGGGUUGCCAUGACCUCAUCCAGGGGAUCUUCCUGACCCAGGGCUUGAACCCACAUCUCUUAGAUCUCCUGCAUUGGUGGGUUCUUUACCGUUAGUGCCACCUGGUAAGUGGCAUAACUAUCUCCAUUUUUCAGAAUGGAAAACUGAGGCAUGCUGCAGGAUUGUGCCCAAGGACACUUAUUCCUUGCGUGGAACUGGGGGAGGGCCAGACUGGCUGCCUCCAGGGCCCUGGGUCUUCAUCUCUCUGCCACAUAAUAAUAUCUUGAGAAAGCAGAGAAAUUACAUGUAUUGAGCACUCCAGACUCAUUCACUCAGCAUUCGAGAAGGGAUCCGGGAGGGCAGGGCACCGGGAGGAUCCAGGAUCAGCGAGGCCCUGACCUCCCCGAGAUGGGGGUGGGGGGAGUGAUAAGGCACUUGUAUUAAAAUGCAAAUUUCUGCCUUGCUUGCUGGUUUAUCAUCUGACUCGUUAUACAAUUUGCCAGUUAUAGAAGAAAAAUUACCAUAAUGGGGCCCUAGGGAAUGGUUGUAAAAAGGAGACCAAACGUUACUUAUCGGCCGUUCCACUACAAUUAUCUACUGUGUUUGUUCUUUUCCUCUCCAGAAAAAUGAAACCAUCAGUGCCAGCGACAGGGUGCUGACCCUGUGGGAGGGAGCACAUGGGAGCAGAGAGGCUGCGCCUUUGAUGGGCUUUUUCCCUUUGAUCUCCCCUCCUGGUUCCCCAGACUCCCUGCUGGUACCGCCCUGGGGCGGCCCCCUUUGCAGAGCAGGGCAGGGUGGAGAGUUUCUGAGCAGUAAGAGAGACAGAGGAUCAGGCAGGUGAGGUUUAACUCUGUCCUCGAUCUCAGUGGCUCAGGGCUGUGCCUUUCCCGGGGAUGGGCUUGUGUGCGGAGGUGGGACACCCCCAGGGCCCACUGAGCAUCAUUACUCAGCCUCACCUGGUGUCCACCAGACACUCCAGACUCCGGAAGUUUGCACAUCCUCAGGUGUCCGCAAGGGGGCAGUGGCUCUGUGGGCUGUACCCCUUGAGCACGCCUGUCCUGAAGCCUGCCAACUCUUUCUGCUCCUAAGAUCCCUUUUCAACUGGUACCCGCCAGCCUGACCCACUCCCGGGCUCCUCACAGGCAGGCGCUUGGUCUCAUUCAAGCUGACUUUCUCAGUACCUUGCUUAGCUCCGGGGACAUGAUAAGGAGGAAAUAAAUAUCACACGAAUGAAUGAAAGCGGCUGUCUGAGAAUUCGUGUCUGUGUGUUUUCAGGUUUUGCUUAAGUUGUCUUCCCCACAGUCUAGCUUCUUUUAGGUCCAACCAAAUCUUCCCCAAGCCCUGAGACCUCUGAUGAUGCCUC